rnacentral:rRNA from 1 species
UGCAGCAGGCGCGAAAACUUUACAAUGCUGGAAACCGUGAUAAGGGGACAUCGAGUGCCAGGUUCCUAUUCUGGCUGUCCGGAUGUGUAAAAUACAUUUGUUAGCAAGGGCCGGGCAAGACCGGUGCCAGCCGCCGCGGUAACACCGGCGGCUCGAGUGGUGAUCGUUAUUAUUGGGUCUAAAGGGUCUGUAGCCGGUUUGAUCAGUCUUUCGGGAAAUCUGAUAGCUCAACUGUUAGGCUUUCGGGAGAUACUGUCUGGCUUGAAACCGGGAGAGGUAAGAGGUACUUCAGGGGUAGGAGUGAAAUCUUGUAAUCCUUGUGGGACCACCUGUGGCGAAGGCGUCUUACCAGAACGGAUCUGACGGUAAGGGACGAAAGCUGGGGGCACGAACCGGAUUAGAUACCCCGGGUAGUCCUAGCCGUAAACGAUACUCGCUAGGUGUCAGGCAUGGUGCGACCGUGUCUGGUGCCGUAGGGAAGCCGUGAAGCGAGCCACCUGGGAAGUACGGCCGNCAGGCUGAAACUUAAAGGAAUUGGCGGGGGAGCAC